rnacentral:rRNA from 1 species
UUGCCACUUUGUGGUUCAUGACUGGGGUGAAGUCGUAACAAGGUAGCGCUAGGGGAACCUGGCGCUGGAUCACCUCCUUAUACGAA